UACAGAGGUCUCAAGCGUUGUUCGGAUUCAUUGGGCGUAAAGGGUGCGUAGGUGGCGAGGUUAGUCAGGUGUGAAAUCUCGGGGCUCAACCCCGAAACUGCACUUGAUACUGCCUUGCUAGAGUACUGGAGAGGAGAUUGGAAUUUACGGUGUAGCAGUGAAAUGCGCAGAUAUCGGGAGGAACACCAAUGGCGAAGGCAGCUCGCUGGGACGGUACUGACGCUGAGGCGCGAAAGCGUGGGGAGCAAACAGG
rnacentral:rRNA from 1 species